rnacentral:lncRNA from 1 species
AGAAGGGAAGGUUUUGUUGGGAUUUUUGCCACGGAAAGGCACUCUUUUUUUGAAGAAAAUACGUAUUCCUACAUUUCAUCAUGAAAGGAAGCGAUUAUCGUAAAGGAUACAGAUUUCUCUAUAAAUAGCUGAUCAAUCGCCCAUAUCACAACACAACAACAAUCCCAAUUUUGUUGGAUCAAUGUGAUUCUUUAGCCAUUAGUGAAGGCACAUUGGUUUGAUCCGUCAGCGUAAAACAUGAUCAAACAUUGGGCUUCGUUGUAUCUUAAAGGCCUAUCACAUAUUCUACAUACAGAUUGGUGAAGGCGAAUAAAACCUUAAGAAAAGUAGCAAUGC